rnacentral:rRNA from 1 species
UACGUAGGGGGCUAGCGUUGUCCGGAAUCAUUGGGCGUAAAGAGCGUGUAGGCGGUCCGGUAAGUCCGUUGUGAAAGUCAAGGGCUCAACCCUUGAAUGCCGGCGGAUACUGUCGGGCUAGAGUCCGGAAGAGGCAAGUGGAAUUCCCAGUGUAGCGGUGAAAUGCGCAGAUAUCGGGAGGAACACCUAUGGCGAAGGCAGCUUGCUGGGACGGUACUGACGCUGAGGAGCGAAAGCGUGGGGAGCGAACAGG